UUGCUGGGCGAGCCUGAUGCAGCGACGCCGCGUGAGGGAUGACGGCCUUCGGGUUGUAAACCCCCUUCAGCACGGAAGAAGCGAAAGUGACGGUACGUGCAGAAGAAGCGCCGGCUAACUACGUGCCAGCAGCCGCGGUAAUACGUAGGGCGCAAGCGUUGUCCGGAAUUAUUGGGCGUAAAGAGCUCGUAGGCGGUUUGUCGCGUCUGCUGUGAAAGCCCGGGGCUUAACCCCGUGGUGUGCAGUGGGUACGGGCAGACUAGAGUGCAGUAGGGGAGACUGGAAUUCCUGGUGUAGCGGUGAAAUGCGCAGAUAUCAGGAGGAACACCGAUGGCGAAGGCAGGUCUCUGGGCUGUUACUGACGCUGAGGAGCGAAAGCAUGGGGAGCGAACAGGAUUAGAUACCCUGGUAGUCCAUGCCGUAAACGUUGGGCACUAGGUGUGGGGGACAUUCCACGUUUUCCGCGCCGUAGCUAACGCAUUAAGUGCCCCGCCUGGGGAGUACGGCCGCAAGGCUAAAACUCAAAGGAAUUGACGGGGGCCCGCACAAGCGGCGGAGCAUGCGGAUUAAUUCGAUGCAACGCGAAGAACCUUACCAAGGCUUGACAUACACCAGACCGGUCCAGAGAUGGUCCUUCCCCUUUGGGGUUGGUGUACAGGUGGUGCAUGGUUGUCGUCAGCUCGUGUCGUGAGAUGUUGGGUUAAGUCCCGCAACGAGCGCAACCCUCGUUCUAUGUUGCCAGCACGUGAUGGUGGGGACUCAUAGGAGACUGCCGGGGUCAACUCGGAGGAAGGUGGGGAUGACGUCAAAUCAUCAUGCCCCUUAUGUCUUGGGCUUCACGCAUGCUACAAUGGCCGGUACAAUGGGUUGCGAUACCGUGAGGUGGAGCUAAUCCCAAAAAGCUGGUCUCAGUUCGGAUCGUGGUCUGCAACUCGACCACGUGAAGUCGGAGUCGCUAGUAAUCGCAGAUCAGCAACGCUGCGGUGAAUACGUUCCCGGGCCUUGUACACACCGCCCGUCAAGUCACGAAAGUUGGUAACACCCGAAGCCGGUGCCUAACCCUUGUGGGGGGGAGCCGUCAAAGGUGGGACUGGGCGAU
rnacentral:rRNA from 1 species